GGGAAUAUUGCGCAAUGGAGGAAACUCUGACGCAGUGACGCCGCGUAUAGGAAGAAGGUUUUCGGAUUGUAAACUAUUGUCGUUAGGGAAGAUAAAAGACUGUACCUAAGGAGGAAGCCCCGGCUAACUAUGUGCCAGCAGCCGCGGUAAUACAUAGGGGGCAAGCGUUAUCCGGAUUUACUGGGUGUAAAGGGCGUGUAGGCGGGGACGCAAGUCAGAUGUGAAAACCACGGGCUCAACCUGUGGCCUGCAUUUGAAACUGUGUUUCUUGAGUACUGGAGAGGCAGACGGAAUUCCUAGUGUAGCGGUGAAAUGCGUAGAUAUUAGGAGGAACACCAGUGGCGAAGGCGGUCUGCUGGACAGCAACUGACGCUGAGGCGCGAAAGCGUGGGGAGCA
rnacentral:rRNA from 1 species